rnacentral:rRNA from 1 species
GACGAACGCUGGCGGCGUGCUUAACACAUGCAAGUCGAACGGUAAGGCCCCUUCGGGGGUACACGAGUGGCGAACGGGUGAGUAACACGUGAGCAACCUGCCCUUGACUUUGGGAUACCAGCUGGAAACAGCUGCUAAUACCGGAUAUGACCUCUUCUCUCAUGGGUUGAGGUGGAAAGCUCCGGCGGUCAGGGAUGGGCUCGCGGCCUAUCAGCUUGUUGGUGAGGUAAUGGCUCACCAAGGCUUCGACGGGUAACCGGCCUGAGAGGGCGACCGGCCAAACUGGGAAGAGGAUACGGCCCAGACUCCUACGGGGGGCAGCAGUGGGGAAUAUUGCAAAAGGGGCGCAAGCCUGAUGCAGAAACGCCGGGGGGGGGAUGACGGCCUUGGGGUUGUAAACCGCUUUCAGGAGGGACGAAGCUAACGUGACGGUACCUACAAAAGAAGGACCGGAUAAAUACGU